AGAGACCCCGAGCGUUAUCCGGAAUUACUGGGCGUAAAGCGCGAGCAGCCGGUUGCAUUAGUCUGAUGUCAAACCCUGGGGCCCAACCCCAGGCCUGCAUCAGAAACGGUGCGGCUAGAGCGGGUAAGAGGAAGGCGGAACGUACGGUGUAGGGGUGAAAUCCACUGAUAUCGUACGGAACACCAAAAGCGAAGGCAGCCUCCUAGUGCCCUGCUGACGGUCAAUUGCGAAAGCGUGGGGAUCAAAAAGGAUUAGAUACCCUUGUAGUCCACGCCCUAAACUAUGCAGACUAGCUAUUGGGAGCAUCGACCCUUCCAGUGGCGUAGCGAACGCGUUAAGUCUGUCGCCUGGGAAGUACGAUCGCAAGAUUA
rnacentral:rRNA from 1 species